rnacentral:rRNA from 1 species
CCAGAGAACUUAGCAGAGAUGCUUUGGUGCCUUCGGGAACGCUGAGACAGGUGCUGCAUGGCUGUCGUCAGCUCGUGUUGUGAAAUGUUGGGUUAAGUCCCGCAACGAGCGCAACCCUUAUCCUUUGUUGCCAGCGGCUCGGCCGGGAACUCAAAGGAGACUGCCGGUGAUAAACCGGAGGAAGGUGGGGAUGACGUCAAGUCAUCAUGGCCCUUACGGCCAGGGCUACACACGUGCUACAAUGGCGCAUACAAAGAGAAGCGACCUCGCGAGAGCAAGCGGACCUCACAAAGUGCGUCGUAGUCCGGAUUGGAGUCUGCAACUCGACUCCAUGAAGUCGGAAUCGCUAGUAAUCGUAGAUCAGAAUGCUACGGUGAAUACGUUCCCGGGCCUUGUACACACCGCCCGUCACACCAUGGGAGUGGGUUGCAAAAGAAGUAGGUAGCUUAACCUUCGGGAGGGCGCUUACCACUUUGUGAUUCAUGACUGGGGUGAAGUCGUAACAAGGUAGGCGUAGCGAG